GGUCCGAAUGGGAUUCGAACCGCCAACCUUCCACUCCAUAGCUCCAUGCUCUAACCGCUCGGCUGCGAGGCCCCAAUAAUUAUGGCAGCCAAUAAUUUGAAUUUUGUGAAGCAAUAUUUCAAUAACUAAAACGUCAUCGUUUUUGUUUGUUGGAUAUCUUAUUCAAAAGCGAAUAAUUUUUCUAUUGCUAGGAAAAUGUCAGCUGUUGACCACUCAAGGCUCAUCGUUGCUGUACGCUCAUGGUGGCCCCCGUUUAUGGUAGAGAACACUGUGCCAGCUCUUGUACAAAACACCCACAGGCACAAUGACUCGGCCAUCACUGAGGAGCACUGAGAGUGUACAGCAACUGUGCCAGGAUCAGUCAACAAGGACUGUACCCCUUGCCUCCCGUUCUUUCAAGCACCCACAAAAUCUAAAUUUUUAAGCUCUGGCAGGAGAUUCUCCAUCAUAAAAUGUCUCUUGGUGGUCGGUUGGUCUGCCCAGCAACUGCCCAGCAAAAAGUGACCAAAAGUAAGGUGUUCCAUACGGUGAUACCAUUGGCAUCCCAUUUUUCGGCGUCACAUUUUUAAGCUCGGGCACGAAUCAUUUUGAUCGAUUUCAUGCAAGACUUUCAUGUAUGCAAGACUUCUUGCAACACGGCCAGAGCUUAUUGUAUACUAGCACUUGCCCUGCACAUCUUCCUCGAACAAGAUGGACGCCAUUUUGUGUAGUGGUUGGACGGUAUCCAGGAGGAAAUGCCCCCAAAAGGUGGGCGGGGUGCGAUUUUUAAGCUCUGGCAGGAGCUUCUACAUGUCACUUGGUGGUCGGUUGGUCCCAAGAAUUGACCAGAAGUGUGGUAUUCCAUAUGUGCCAUCGGUGCGGCAUUUUUAGCCAAAGCUUAUUGUGCACACGCACUUGUUUAAAACUAGAAUCAACUAGGUUAAGGCCAAAAAAAAAACCGCGUCACCGCACCGCUUUUUGGGGCAAGCUCCAUACCAGAAACCGGAGACGUUUUUUUUUUUGGCUUAAAGAGCAUCUUGAUAUUAAAGAACUUUACAUGCUAAAAACAUGCAUGAAUAAAUACGAGAGCCUUUCAUAAAGGCACUGCUGUGGAGAAUUAAUAGAAGGGAGGUUAUUUUCACCUAUUAAUCAAGAUCAUUCCCGUGAACAUCAAUGUGACAUUGUAAAAUUAAAAAAAUAAUAAUUGUUUUGUCAAGAAAGCAUAUGUUUAAAAGGGCCACUUUAACAAAUUUGAUGUUUGAGAUAUAUCCUUGAAAAGAAAACCUUUCACAAAAAUUUAAUUAAAUUUUAUGAAAUUGUAUACUUUGUUGCUUGCUUUUCAUUAGUAAGCUAAUGCAUGUACACAUACGUGCAAGAUUAAUUUACAUGCCUUAGAAUUUUAUUUAUAAUUUGUUUAUAGAAAGGAUAUGCUUGCCUUUUGUUUUGUAGUAAUAUAUUUGACAAGUCCGAUGAAAUGAAUUCUUGAAAUAAACCAGAAAGUGACA